GUGGCUUCCGGAGCUAACGCGUUAAGUCGACCGCCUGGGGAGUACGGCCGCAAGGUUAAAACUCAAAUGAAUUGACGGGGGCCCGCACAAGCGGUGGAGCAUGUGGUUUAAUUCGAUGCAACGCGAAGAACCUUACCUACUCUUGACAUCCAGAGAACUUAGCAGAGAUGCUUUGGUGCCUUCGGGAACUCUGAGACAGGUGCUGCAUGGCUGUCGUCAGCUCGUGUUGUGAAAUGUUGGGUUAAGUCCCGCAACGAGCGCAACCCUUAUCCUUUGUUGCCAGCGGUUCGGCCGGGAACUCAAAGGAGACUGCCAGUGAUAAACUGGAGGAAGGUGGGGAUGACGUCAAGUCAUCAUGGCCCUUACGAGUAGGGCUACACACGUGCUACAAUGGCGCAUACAAAGAGAAGCGACCUCGCGAGAGCAAGCGGACCUCAUAAAGUGCGUCGUAGACCGGAUCGGAGUCUGCAACGCGACUCCAUGAAGUCGGAAUCGCUAGUAAUCGUAGAUCAGAAUGCUACGGUGAAUACGUUCCCGGGCCUUGUACACACCGCCCGUCACACCAUGGGAGUGGGUUGCAAAAGAAGUAGGUAGCUUAACCUUCGGGAGGGCGCUUACCACUUUGUGAUUCAUGACUGGGGUG
rnacentral:rRNA from 1 species